rnacentral:rRNA from 1 species
GCUAUCGCCGUGCCAGCUGGCGCGGUAAGGCGGAGGAUCCGAGCGUUAUCCGGUUGUAGUGGGUUUAAAGGGUGGUCAGGCGGGAGAUUAAGUCGGCGGUGAAAUUUUGCAGCUCAACUGUAAAAGUGCCUUCGAAACUGGUUUCCUUGAGUGUAGAUGAAGUAGGCGGAAUUUGUGGUGUAGCGGUGAAAUGCAUAGAUAUCACGAGGAACUCCGAUUGCGCAGGCAGCUUACUAAACUACUACUGACGCUCAGGCACGAAGGCGUGGGGAUCAAACAGGAUUAGAUACCCCAGUAGUC